UGUUUCACUCAUCCCUUACCAUCCCAUGUAAAGUUCAGUAUGAAUGUCUGUAACCAGUGUAACACCACAUCCGGCACUUAGCAUCCAAGACAGGAAAAAACGGAAGGGUGGAAUAGGGAGGAUGUGUUUAUUUAUCUUCAAUGUUAACACGUCUUUACCUCGUGAGGGUGUUGAUUUAAAUAAAAAUAAAAGGCAGAGUACAAUAGUGAGUCACGCUGAUAUCCUUCUAGAGAAUCGACACAGACGGAACGGAUCACCCUCGAGACCACGGAAAAUCUAAAAAUGAUUACCAAACAGAGAAUACUUCUGAUGGUCACUAUGAUGAUUACAAGCAAUGGUCUCAUCAGUGUCAUCAGCUCAACCACCACUAGCUCAACCACCACCAGCCCAACCACCAUCAUCGCAACCACCAUCAUCGCAACCACCAACAGCCCAACCGUCAUGUGCAACUCAUCCGGCGUGUGCAACUUAAAUCCAAAAGCCAACUCAACAAAACCUACGAACUCAAAUCCAACAGCCAAUCCAACCAAAACUACGAACACAAAUCCAAUAGCCAAUCCAACCACAACUACCAACCCAAAUUCAACAGCCAAUCGGACCAAAACUACGAACACAAAUCCAAUAGCCAAUCCAACCACAACUACAAACUCAAAUUCAACAGUUAAUCCAACUAAACCUACUAACUCAAAUUCAACAGCCAAUCCAACCAAACCUGCUAACUCAAAUCCAACAGCCAAACCAUCCAACUCUACUAACUCAAAUUCAACAGCCAAUCCAACCAAACCUGCUAACUCAAAUCCAACAGCCAAACCAUCCAACUCUACUAACCCAAAUCCAACAGCCAAACCAUCCAACUCUACUAACCCAAAUCCAACAGCCAAACCAUCCAACUCUACUAACUCAAAUCCAACAGCCAAACCAUCCAACUCUACUAACCCAAAUCCAACAGCCAAACCAUCCAACUCUACUAACCCAAAUCCAACAGCCAAACCAUCCAACUCUACUAACCCAAAUCCAACAGCCAAACCAUCCAACUCUACUUACUCAAAUCCAACAGCC